rnacentral:rRNA from 1 species
GGCAGAGGUGCCGAGCGUUAGGCGGAAUCACUGGGCUUAAAGCGUGUGUAGGCGGAUCGUUAAGUGCCUUGUGAAAUCCCACGGCUCAACCGUGGAACUGCUUGGCAUACUGGCGAUCUUGAGCCACUUAGGGGCUACCGGAACAAAUGGUGGAGCGGUGAAAUGCGUAGAUAUCAUUUGGAACGCCAAUGGUGAAAACAGGUAGCUGGGAGUGUGCUGACGCUGAGACACGAAAGCCAGGGGAGCAAACGGG